UACAGAGGUCUCAAGCGUUGUUCGGAUUCAUUGGGCGUAAAGGGUGUGUAGGUGGGGCCGUAAGUCGGGUGUGAAAUUUCGGAGCUUAACUCCGAAACUGCAUUCGAUACUGCGGUGCUUGAGGACUGGAGAGGAGACUGGAAUUGAUGGUGUAGCAGUGAAAUGCGUAGAGAUCAUGAGGAAGACCAGUGGCGAAGGCGGGUCUCUGGACAGUUCCUGACACUGAGACACGAAGGCCAGGGGAGCAAACGGG
rnacentral:rRNA from 1 species